AGAGAGAGAGAGAGAGGGAGAGAGAGAGAGAGAGAGAGAGAGGAUGCGAAUCACUGCUGAGAUGGAUAUCAGAAAGUUAUUUGCCCGCAGCAGGGAAGAAGCAGCGAGGAAUGAGAGAUGGUGAUGACCCUCCCAGAUGUCGGAGAGACAUUGGCUCUCUUUGUUGGCCCUGCGAUGAGGUGGCGACUUGUCCACCCGAAUGCAGCUGAGAGAGGCUCCAGCAGCCCCCAGCUACCCCGUAAGAGACAAGCAGUAGAGAAUGGAUGGA